rnacentral:lncRNA from 1 species
UAAUGACAUGGAUGGCUUCUUUGAUGAGUGAGCUCGUGUUCGUCGCCUCAGGUAACCCUCCCUUCUCCAUCAACGUCGAUGCAAUGAACACAGGAGACAUCCCGAAUCUCUUCUCGAAGUUCUUCUGAGACAUUAGAGAUGAUUUAUCGUGCUCGUCGUACCCUUCAAGCCCUUCUUCGAUGUCCUCAAGAUCGAAUAUGGCUUCGGUCGAUCGUUUUCUUGAAUAGCUCAUCGUCGUUGCACUGUCCUUCUUCU